rnacentral:rRNA from 1 species
UACGUAGGGUGCAAGCGUUGUCCGGAAUUAUUGGGCGUAAAGAGCUCGUAGGCGGUUUGUUGCGUCGGCUGUGAAAUCCCGAGGCUCAACCUCGGGUCUGCAGUCGAUACGAGCAAACUAGAGUGUGGUAGGGGAGACUGGAAUUCCUGGUGUAGCGGUGAAAUGCGCAGAUAUCAGGAGGAACACCGGUGGCGAAGGCGGGUCUCUGGGCCGAUAUUGACGCUGAGGAGCGAAAGCGUGGGGAGCGAACAGG